rnacentral:rRNA from 1 species
UACGUAGGGUGCGAGCGUUAAUCGGAAUUACUGGGCGUAAAGCGUGCGCAGGCGGUUUUGUAAGCCGGAUGUGAAAUCCCUCAGCUUAACUGGGGAACUGCGUCUGAGACUGGCAAGCUUGAGUGCAGGAGAGGAACGCGGAAUUCCAGGUGUAGCGGUGAAAUGCGUAGAUAUCUGGAGGAACACCGGUGGCGAAGGCGGCGUUCUGGACUGCAACUGACACUGAUAGACGAAAGCCAGGGGAGCAAACGGG